rnacentral:rRNA from 1 species
GAUGAACGCUAGCUACGGGCCUAACACAUGCAAGUCGAGCGGCAGCAUGACCUAGUUACAGGUUUAUGGCGACCGGCGCACGGGUGAGUAACACGUAUCUAACCUGCCGAUUAUUCCGGGAUAGCCUUUCGAAACAAAGACUAAUACCGGAUAACAUAACGAGACGCCAUCUUCUUGUUAUUAAAGAAUUUUUAUAAUCGUUGGGGAUGCGUUCCAUUUGUUUGUUGGCGGGGUAACGGCCAACCAAGACCUCGAUGGAUAGGGGUUCUGAGAGGAAGGUCCCCCACAUUGGAACUGAGACACGGUCCAAACUCCUACGGAAGGCAGCAGUGAGGAAUAUUGGUCAAUGGACGAGAGUCUGAACCAGCCAAGUAGCGUGAAAGAUGACUGCCCUAUGGGUGGUAAACUUCUUUUAAAUGGGAAUAAAGUGGGCCACGUGUGGCUUUUUGUAGGUACCAUACGAAUAAGGAUCGGCUAACUCCGUG